GUCAUCUGCAAAAUGUAAAAGAUCGGUCUGGAAAAUGUGUUGAGAGAAAAACAGUUUCCUUAAUUUCUCAAAUGAGUCUACUGUCUCGGGUGGAAGACGACAAUAUCAGUUUAGAGCUCCGCCAGAAAUGGUGGAAGGGAAGAGAAGACAUUGCUCUUCGUCGGUGUGCAUCCGAUAUGCCAUGGUGGACUCAAAGAGGUUAAGGUGUUCAAUUAGGUCCUCCCUUCCAGUAUAGAGUUGUAAACCAAGCUUUUGUUUUGUCUUCGCUUGAAGGGGGUGUCGAGGAUCCUCCUCGUAAGAGGGCCAGGCCUAGGUUAGUUCCAAUCAGGUAUCUCAGCUUGUCGUUCAGCCUUCAACUUGUUUACUUCUUUAAGGAGUUGUAGGACAAGAGGGUUCUGAGUGGAGUCAUGUACCACUGGAGCUUUCUUUCGUAAAUCUCCAUCUUCUCUUGGAAGUAGGAAUGUUUGAUCAAGAGCAUGUGAUUUUUCCCUGGACUCGCCAUAUUGACUUCCAAGGUAUGUCUGUCGGAACAUCUUUGAGUCCCCUAUACCUUUGUGUUUCUCUAGGACUUGUUGUCCCUUCCCUAAAUUGGUAGCUGGCUUGGGACAUGGGAGGGGACCGAGUCUUUCAGAGACCCUUGGGUCAUUGAUCUUCGAGCUUACAUGGAUGAGAUUGUCUCGACGUUGCUUUAGGAAGUCUCG
rnacentral:lncRNA from 1 species